rnacentral:tRNA from 1 species
GCCUGAGUAGCUCAGUCAGUUGAGCAUCUGACUUUGGCUCAGGUCAUGACCUCAUAGUUCAUGGGUUCGAGCCCCGCAUCAGGCU